rnacentral:piRNA from 1 species
CAUAUACUAAAAUUGGAACGAUA